AAGGCUUCAGUACGACCCUGUCAGAACUAUAAGUCUCAAAGCCCCGACGAGUAGGGUGGCGUGCCGGUGUGCGUUGAAGGCCAAGACGUGAGUCAGGCUGGAGCCGCCGGUAGUGCAGAUCUUGGUGGUAGUAGCAAGUACUCUGGUGAACCAACCUGGAGCUGUGAGGUCUGGAUCAGGGUUCCAUGUCAACAGUGAUUGAACAUGGGUGAGUCGAUCCUAAGCCAACUGUGAAAGCAGUGACAUUCCGACAAAGGGGCAUGUGUUCGUGCACGCACACUCACUCUCUGGACGAUGGACGGACUCUGUUGCGCACACGCAAUGAUCACACUGAAUGUUGUGAGCGUGUGUGAGGCUUUCUGCUUACGCUCAAAAGCGUUGAUGUAUGGGAUGACUGCUAUAUGGAUAAAAGUGAGUUGUGUUGUUGCACGACGCUCUCUCUCUGCGUCUGGUUCUAUGUCUGGCGAAAGGGAAUGGGGACUUUGUUCCUUGACCGGUCCCGGCACCCUCGAUAGGCUUUGCCAAUCAAUGGUCCAUGCAAAUGGAACCAGGCCACAGCCGCCGGCAGUCGCCCGAGGAAGAGUUUUCUUUUCUGCUUAACGCACGAGAUCAUCCCUGGAAACAGUUCGGCUGGCGAAAGGGUGCCCCGUUGCGGCAGAGCGCCACGACUGUCGUGCGCGUCUCGGUGUUCCUGCCGGUCCGUGAAGACGUGGUCGAGGGGAUUGCUCUUUGUAUCAACGAAACGCCCGACAAGUUCGGGACGGACCGUACCCUAUAUCCGCAUCUGGUCUCCAAGGUUCGUAGCCUCUGCAGAGUCAGACACAUGUAGGUAAGGGAAGUCGGCAAACUCGAUCCGUAACUUCGGGAAAAGGAUUGGCUCUGAGGGCCGAGCUGGGCCGGGCCUUGCCUGCAAAGCAGUACCUAUAGUGACCGGAGUUUCAGGAGUGCGAGGGGCUCUAGUAGCUGCUCGCGCGUUCACGCGCGUGGGUACGAACGAGUCCACCGCUCCGCUCCAACCACGAACGGCUGUGACGGCAAGGGCUCUGGGCGGGAGCGUUCAAACCGUUGGCCCCCAGCUCGUCUGGGUGGCGGCGGUGCUUCGUCUGACCCAUACGGCUCCAGCGGCUAGCGGCUAACUCAGAACUGUCAUGGACCAAGGGAAUCCGACUGUCUAAUUAAAACAAAGCGUCGUGACGGCCCCUGUUGGGUGUUGACGCGACGUGAUUUCUGCCCAGUGCUCUAA
rnacentral:rRNA from 1 species